UACAGGGGGUGCAAACGUUGCUCGGAAUCAUUGGGCGUAAAGCGCACGUAGGCGGUUCGUUAUGUCGGAUGUGAAAGCCCUUGGCUUAACCGAGGAAAUGCAUCCGAAACUGGCGAGCUAGAGUACGAAAGAGGAUCGCGGAAUUCCCGGUGUAGAGGUGAAAUUCGUAGAUAUCGGGAGGAACACCGGUGGCGAAGGCGGCGAUCUGGGUCGAUACUGACGCUGAGGUGCGAAAGCGUGGGGAGCAAACAGG
rnacentral:rRNA from 1 species